GACGUAGGGUCCGAGCGUUGUCCGGAGUUACUGGGCGUAAAGGGCGCGUAGGCGGCGCGGGCAGUCAACGGUGAAAGCUCGGGGCUCAACUCCGAGUCGGCCGUCGAUACUCCCGUGCUUGAGCACUGUAGAGGCAGGUGGAAUUCCGGGUGUAGCGGUGGAAUGCGUAGAGAUCCGGAAGAACACCGGUGGCGAAGGCGGCCUGCUGGGCAGUAGCUGACGCUGAGGCGCGACAGCGUGGGGAGCAAACAGG
rnacentral:rRNA from 1 species